GUGUCAGCCGCCGCGGUAAUACGUAGGGUGCGAGCGUUAAUCGGAAUUACUGGCGUAAAGCGUGCGCAGGUGGUUGUGUAAGUCAGAUGUGAAAUCCCCGGGCUCAACCUGGGAACUGCAUUUGAGACUGCAUGGCUAGAGGAUGGCAGAGGGGGGUAGAAUUCCACGCGUAGCAGUGAAAUGCGUAGAGAUGUGGAGGAAUACCGAUGGCGAAGGCAGCCCCCUGGGCUAUUUCUGACACUCAUGCACGAAAGCGUGGGGAGCAAACAGGAUUAGAUACCCUGGUAGUCCACGCCCUAAACGAUGUCAACUAGAUGUUGGAAGGGUUAAACCUUUUAGUGUCGUAGCUAACGCGUGAAGUUGACCGCCUGGGGAGUACGGCCGCAAGGCUAAAACUCAAAGAAAUUGGCGG
rnacentral:rRNA from 1 species